AUUGAACGCUGGCGGCAGGCCUAACACAUGCAAGUCGAGCGGAUGAAGGGAGCUUGCUCCUGGAUUCAGCGGCGGACGGGUGAGUAAUGCCUAGGAAUCUGCCUGGUAGUGGGGGAUAACGUCCGGAAACGGGCGCUAAUACCGCAUACGUCCUGAGGGAGAAAGUGGGGGAUCUUCGGACCUCACGCUAUCAGAUGAGCCUAGGUCGGAUUAGCUAGUUGGUGGGGUAAAGGCCUACCAAGGCGACGAUCCGUAACUGGUCUGAGAGGAUGAUCAGUCACACUGGAACUGAGACACGGUCCAGACUCCUACGGGAGGCAGCAGUGGGGAAUAUUGGACAAUGGGCGAAAGCCUGAUGCAGCAAUGCCGCGUGUGUGAAGAAGGUCUUCGGAUUGUAAAGCACUUUAAGUUGGGAGGAAGGGCAGUAAGUUAAUACCUUGCUGUUUUGACGUUACCAACAGAAUAAGCACCGGCUAACUUCGUG
rnacentral:rRNA from 1 species